CAUUUGUGUCGAUGAGGGGAAGGCCUGCUGCUGAAUAGAUCUAAACUGUGAAUGAAUGUAGCUGCCUCCCAUGCUAUCAUGACAAGAGGCCUCGGUCCAUCUGACUCACGCAUCAAGGUCUUACGGGAGGACAACUUUCAAGUUCAUGGGGGUGCUGUCAUGAGCACACAGUGGCAGCUGCACCAGGCAGGGCACAUGCACAGAAGGGAAUCGGCAGAGAGACGUAGCUGGACCAUAGCAUCCUGGACAUGGUCUUUCAGCCUCAACCAGAACAGAGCUUGUGACUGUGCUGGAGGAAAUACAGUUCAUAUUUUCAAGAAACCUGAUGAGUCAAGUUAAGAUUUAAAAGAUGUGAAUGUCUUUUAAUAAAAUAUCAGUCCAGAAAUGAUUUCA
rnacentral:lncRNA from 13 species